UCAAUCUCUGUUGUGAAAAAUUUAGUUUUUGAUUCCUUCUUUCACAUAGAGAUAGCUUUAGUCAAAGCUCGUGAAGAUGUAGAAAUCAUGUAAUUUCAAUGAUACUGGAAGAACUUAGUACCUUAAGCUGGAAUAAGUUAGAGAUCCAGAUGACUACAUAAAAGAAAUUCAGUUUAUCAGUAACAUUUUUGAAAUUUGAUGCAUUAUUUUUUGAGGGGCUGUCAAAAUCAUCACCAAAUUCCUAUUGGGGUGUGUUUGAGCAUAAAAUGUUAAAAGAAAUUUGCUGACUAAUGAUACACAGAGAAUUGUUCCAAACAGUGAUGUUUUGAUAAAUGGAGCCAGUGUAUUUGGGAAACGUGAAAUGAAACACAGACACUCAUACAGGAGGAAAAACUUGAAAAGUAGUAAUGCUAAAUGGACUGAGGUGAUAACCAGCAGCAAAUUUAUAUGAACGUGUAAUGCAAGGCGGUGUAGGAAAAAAAAAAAGCAAUAUGACUUUAGGUAGACUACACAAAGAAAUCACAUUAUAGAUCAAGAAAAAUAUAGACAAGUCUGUUUAUAUCUUGGUGAAACACUUUUGGAAUAAUACACAUGAUCUCAAGAUUUCAGCACAAAGAAGACAUUGAAAAACAAAGGAGAUUCAGAUGUGAAAAGCACAAGUGAUUAUAAGGACCCGCCAGAUUGAUUUAUGAGGUAUGAAUGGCACAACGACCACCUAAAUAUGUGCGUAUAUAGAGAGACAAAGCAAGAGAAGAAACACAAGCAAGGGGAGUGGGAGAGGAGAAGCAGGCUUCCCACUGAGCAAGGAGCCCGAUGUGGGGCUCGAUCCCAGGACCCCGGGAUCAUGACCUGAGCCGAAGGCAGACGCUUAACGACUGAGCCACCCAGUUGUUUCAGACAGAAGGGUAAGUCUGGUCACUGUUCUUCAUCUUGGCUGGACGUGGAUGUCUCUAUGUCAUUCUUGACCACCCCUUAGAAAUUCACUACGACCACCCCUACUAUCACCACCAAAAGGAAAAAAAAAGGCCCUAGCAGAGCAUUGAAUAAUGGUGAAGAACAUAAAUGUCUUACACACAAUUGAUACGUAAUCAAUGUUACAGGUAAAUAAAUGAAGUACUGUGUUUGAAGAGAUACUUCUGAGGAGAAAUAAAAAGGAGGAAAAGAAGCAGAAUCGUGUUUGCCUUCUUCAUAGCACAUCUUGGUGGGGAUAACAGAAAUAUACCUUCAGUUCUGCCAUUUGUCAGGUAUUACUGGUUUAGAAAGCAACGGUGGCCGAUGUAGAUACCAGUGAAAUGAAGAAUUACUAUUUAGUGGAAUGGGAAUGCUUCAGUUUUUCAUGGUAAUGUCUUC